rnacentral:rRNA from 1 species
UACGAAGGGGGCUAGCGUUGUUCGGAAUUACUGGGCGUAAAGGGCGCGUAGGCGGUCCUGAUCGUCGGAUGUGAAAGGCCUGGGCUCAACCUGGGAAUGGCAUCCGAUACGGCGGGACUGGAGUGUGGGAGAGGUUGGUGGAAUUCCCAGUGUAGAGGUGAAAUUCGUAGAUAUUGGGAAGAACACCGGUGGCGAAGGCGGCCAACUGGACCACAACUGACGCUGAGGCGCGAAAGCGUGGGGAGCAAACGGG